rnacentral:rRNA from 1 species
CCUACGGGUGGCUGCAGUGGGGGAUAUUGCACAAUGGGGGAAACCCUGAUGCAGCGACGCCGCGUGUGGGAAGACGGUCUUCUGGAUUGUAAACCACUGUCCCCAGGGACGAAAAUGACGGUACCUGGGGAGGAAGCUCCGGCUAACUACGUGCCAGCAGCCGCGGUAAUACGUAGGGAGCAAGCGUUGUCCGGAAUUACUGGGUGUAAAGGGAGCGUAGGCGGGGAUGCAAGUUGGGUGUCAAAACUACCGGCUCAACCGAUAGUCGCACUCAAAACUGCAGCUCUUGAGUGAAGUAGAGGCAGGCGGAAGUCCUAGUGUAGCGGUGAAAUGCGUAGAUAGUAGGAGGAACACCAGUGGCGAAGGCGGCCUGCUGGGCUUUUACUGACGCUGAGGCUCGAAAGUGUGGGGAGCAAACAGGAUUAGAUACCCCUGUAGUC